AGUGAACGCUGGCGGUAGGCCUAACACAUGCAAGUCGAACGGCAGCACUGUAAGAGCUUGCUCUUACGGGUGGCGAGUGGCGGACGGGUGAGGAAUACAUCGGAAUCUACUUUUUCGUGGGGGAUAACGUAGGGAAACUUACGCUAAUACCGCAUACGACCUACGGGUGAAAGCAGGGGAUCUUCGGACCUUGCGCGAUUGAAUGAGCCGAUGUCGGAUUAGCUAGUUGGCGGGGUAAAGGCCCACCAAGGCGACGAUCCGUAGCUGGUCUGAGAGGAUGAUCAGCCACACUGGAACUGAGACACGGUCCAGACUCCUACGGGAGGCAGCAGUGGGGAAUAUUGGACAAUGGGCGCAAGCCUGAUCCAGCCAUACCGCGUGGGUGAAGAAGGCCUUCGGGUUGUAAAGCCCUUUUGUUGGGAAAGAAAAGCAGCAGGUUAAUACCCCGCUGUUCUGACAGUACCCAAAGAAUAAGCACCGGCUAACUUCGUG
rnacentral:rRNA from 1 species